rnacentral:lncRNA from 1 species
AACAAUCCUAACAAUCCGAAAACCGCAAAACAAAACUGAAGUGACUAGUUGAACUAACAUGAAACCAUAGCAAACCAUAGAGUUUUGAAACCAAAGUGAGACAUAAAACAAUGCCAAUACAUCAAAGUUUUAAAACGAAGGUAAACCAUAACAUCAUAAAGAGUAAAGAAGUAGAAAAAUCAAGAUUAGGGAAGUGGAACCCGUAUUACUAGAGAAAUCGAAAUAAGGGAAGUUGAUCUCGUAUUGCUAGGGACUAGGGUUCUAGAGGAGAGUUCGGAUGUGUUCGGAUACCCAUCGGAUAUCAGAUCGGAUCGGGUAUUAUCCGAUAUCCGAUGGAUAUAAAAGUCAAUAACCAAUCGGUUAUUCUCUCGGAUGCGGUUCGGAUUUUAAUCCGAUUUUUUCGGUUCAGAUCCGGUUCGGAUUAAAUGCCCAGGCCUACUUCUGACUAAGAAAAAAGACACACAUCAGAACUGAUAGAUAUAUUAGUGAAAUAUGAUGCAUGAUUU